rnacentral:rRNA from 1 species
GACGUAGCCCCCAAGCGUUAUCCGGAUUUAUUGGGCGUAAAGCGUCUGUAGGCGCCCUGUUAGGUUUUCUGUUAAAUCUCUAGGGCUUAACCUUAGAACUGCAGAAAAAACCGGCGGGGUAGAGGGCGUUAGAGGGGAGCGGAACGCUCGGUGUAGGGGUGAAAUCCGUUGAUAUCGAGCGGAACACCAAAAGCGAAGGCAGCUCCCUGGGGCGGCCCUGACGCUGAGAGACGAAAGCUAAGGGAGUGAAUGGGAUUAGAUACCCUCGUA